UACAGAGGUCUCAAGCGUUGUUCGGAUUCAUUGGGCGUAAAGGGUGCGUAGGCGGCGCGGUAAGUCGGAUGUGAAAUCUCGGAGCUUAACUUCGAAACUGCAUUCGAUACUGCCGUGCUUGAGGACUGGAGAGGAGACUGGAAUUUACGGUGUAGCGGUGAAAUGCGUAGAUAUCCGGAGGAACACCGGUGGCGAAGGCGGCUUCCUGGACCGACACUGACGCUGAGGCGCGAAAGCUAGGGGAGCAAACGGG
rnacentral:rRNA from 1 species